GACGAACGCUGGCGGCGUGCUUAACACAUGCAAGUCGAACGGGCCUUGUCCCCUUUUUUUUGGGGUUGGGGUUAGUGGCGAACGGGUGAGUAACACGUGAGUAACCUGCCCCUCACUUCUGGAUAACCGCUUGAAAGGGUGGCUAAUACGGGGUGUGCUGGCCUGCUCGCAUGGGUGGGUUUGGAAAGAUUCGACCGGUUUGGUUGUUUUUGUGGGGGAUGGUCUCGCGGCCUGUCAGCUUGUUGGUGGGGUGAUGGCCUGCCAAGGCUUUGACGGGUAGCCGGCCUGAGAGGGUGGGCGGUCACACUGGGACUGAGACACGGCCCAGACUCCUACGGGAGGCAGCAGUGGGGAAUAUUGCACAAUGGGCGCAAGCCUGAUGCAGCGACGCCGCGUGAGGGAUGGAGGCCUUCGGGUUGUGAACCUCUUUCGCCAGUGAAGAAGGUCCUGCUCUUUGUGGUGGGGUUGACGGUAGCUGGGUUAAUGAAGCGCCGGCUAACUACGUG
rnacentral:rRNA from 1 species